AGGCGGCAAACCUCUUGAAUACUAACCGUUAAUUAUAUUGUUUUUCUUUUACGUUGUAGGCAAUGGUCAGAAAAUAAGUGUGAAAUUCCAGAAAAGACCCUUUGACAAUUCCAGCAUAUCGUGUACGCACUCAUGGAAGACGGCAAGAUAGAAAGUGGCGUGCAUAGGGCUGGUAGAUAAGAUUUUAACUCUCUUCCUGAAUAAGGAGGCAGCAAUGGCGAAGGGGAUCCAUGCAAGGAGGACCCAUGUAUUUAUAUUGGACUACUACUAUUUUACACCGCAAUUUAAAAUAACGUCAUCGUUAUAUCGUGGUCCACGCCGGAACCAAAGAUGGCUUCAUCAAGGGUGCAAAUUUAAUAUUCAAGAGUGGAUUAAAGACGGGAGAUUAUCAUGACAAUAUGAACAGGAAAAACUUCGAAAACUGGUUUAAAAAUCAGCUGGUUUCAAAUCUUCCCCCAAAAUCAUUUAUAAUCAUGGACAAUGCAGAGACUGACCGAAUGGUUGAAGAAAAAGAAUAUUGGCUUUCCAGAAAAAGCCAUGAAAGAUGAAAUAUGGACGCAGACAUUGCCCUAGUGAAAAAAAGUACUUCCUUGAUGAAUAUGUUAAACCUUUAGGACACAAAAUUUUGCGACUGCCACCAUAUCAUUGCCAGUUUAAUGCAAUUGAAAUGGUAUGGUCGGAAUGUACACGAAAAUAUGAUCAAUAUGUUCCCAAUUUUAAGGGGUCACCUUCAGAAGUUCUGACUACAUGGGAAAGGGUAAUAAACGAAAUUUCUAUAGAUCAUUGGCAAAAAUAUGUUUUUCAUACAGAAAAGGUAAUUGAAAAGGCUUGGGAGGCAAUACAAGUGUGUGAUGCCUAUGACAUUCUGCCACUUGUGAUUACGACUGACGAAGACGACGAUGACGAAGACAAUACCUCUGAUUUCAGUUCUGACUCUGACAAUACUGACGAAAUUGAUUAAGCUUUUUUUGUUCUAGCAAAUUUUAUUUUAUGAUCGCCGUUUAAGUAUUCAAUCAUAUCGUUGCAAUUUCAUUAACUUGGUAAUGCAAUAUGACAUGUUUUUUUUGAGUUUGUAUGUUUUAUUUUUUGGAAUGGUAUUUUCAUUUUAGUGUGUUAACAUAUUCCUUCAAGCAGAAUUUUUUUUCAUGAACAAGUAAAUUAAAUUAUCUUAGUCAUCAACAAAAAGGAGACUUUCCCAGUGCUUUACCACCCUUGGAUGGCUAUCAGUAGGAAUUCAAAAGAGCAACGGCCUCAAAUUACUACCCUGUGGCACAGCAAAAACUGCAGAAAAACCCUCAGACCUUGAUUUUGCAACUUUAAAAACCUGUUGUAGUGAGGUCAGGUACUUUACGUGAAAAUCGAGUAGAAAAUAGCCCACUAAGGUCAAAGCAAGAAUGGAAAACUGAAAAAAAGGCUUCUGUCAUAAGUCUGCAUGUCAAGAUGUUGUAGUUGUUCAAUGGAAGGAACAAAGUUUUAGCAGCUGCUUCAAAUUUUGGCGUAUCUGCAAACACAACAGCUCCACGUUACUGCAGAGAAACUAAAUCUAAGGUAAAUGUUCCACAGCCAGGCAUAAUAUAUAAUUAUAAUAGAGGGAUGGGUGGGGUAGAUAAAUUAGACAACAUGGAUGCCAACAUAUAGGGCCCGAAUAAGACAAAGAAAAUGGUGGUGGCCAAUUUUAUUUUUCGAAGAAACAUAGCCAUAGCUUUGCGGCAUUCAUAUGGCGUAAAGUCUGUAAAAGGGAAACUAAGACCAACCUUACCACUGGAUGUUAGGCUUGAUAAUAUCAAUCAUUUGGUGGAAUAUUCUGAGACUGAUAGAAAAUGUGCAUUUUGCAAAAAAAGGCAAAUUUUGUUUGCAUAAAAUGUAAUGACUUCAAGGCUUAUCACACUAAAUAGGCAUAUCAAAGAAUACAUUUUUUGUUGAUUAUCAGAAUUUUUAUUUUGUUAUUUUUAGCACAAUGUCCCUCAUAAGGGACUGUUCUUUUUUUCAAAUGAAUACAUUUCUUGUUUUUUUUCCACAUUUGCCUGCUUAUUUCAAGUACACUAAACAAAUGUUUAAUAAAAAACGUAUGUGUUUCUUAUUCCAUGCUACUUCAUGCACUAAUGGGUUAAAUAAGUUUUGGUUGAAAGCCUCUUUACUGCUUUAUUUUUAUAUCAAAAAAAUAUUACUGUAGCUUUCGCUAAAAUCCGAUAGGGGCAUUGACUUGGGGAUUUACGUUAUUCAAGUUAACGAUAUAUAUUUUUUUAUGCUAUUAAGAGCAGGGAACAAAGCUAAACAGAUUGGUAAAAACCGCAUUCAGAUAUAACUACUCAAACUAAAGUUAUUAAAAAAAAAUGUAACCAUUAAAAAAUUAAAAUUACAAAAAUCGUCGUAAAUUCAUAUUGCAUUAGUCGAAUUGAGAAAACUUGUGUUUAAAUGAAUAUUCGUUUAAAGAAAGAAACUUAGUAUAAGUAGGUUUUCGAAAAUCCAUGAGGAGGCGGUCUUUCAUAUAAUACAUUUAUAUUAAUAGAUUAUUUCGUCCUAGAUUUUCAAAAUGGGCGCCCCUAUGUUCACGCGUAGACUUUGUCUAGCUAAGAAAAGGUACAGCACGUGUUGUUCGGCUCGGUUGCGCAGUAAAUUUGUUUACGCCGCUGCCAAAGCAACGGUAUCGAUCGCCCCGAUUUGCAUAUAAACACUGCCGUUGCGUUAAUUCUUAUAUUUGUGUUCUGUGCCUUUUAGUGUUUAUGUCUUUUCUUAAAAAAGGCGCGCUACUGUCGCUAAUCGCGCGUUAUUAGGGGACAUAACUUGGCGCAGCUUUGAAACAGAUGGUGUACCUUUCCUUAGCUAGACAAACUCUAGCUGCAAUUUUUCCCUCCCUCGUAGAGAUAUUGACACAUUCAAUUUCCUCUCUAGGCAAACCAUGUAUCGCAUUUUAAAUUCUGAGGAUCAUAUUUUCUGAAUGUAGGCCUGGUCCGAAAAACGAGGUCUUUUACUCUUCCCUAGAGGUAAAAAUCUAAAACGGUCAAGUGGGGUGACCUGGCUGGCCAUAGAAACAGGCUUUCUCUUUCUAUACAUCGAGUAUAGGAAGUAUGGUAAUGCAGCAUUUAACACCUAAUUGCAGCAAUGGGUAUUGUCGCGCUAACGGAAAGCUACCCGCUUUAGGUGGUUACGACGGUUCGAUAAAAAUAAAACACCCAGUAAAACAGUCACUAAGAUGCUUUAUUUAAACAAGGGAUUAUUACAAAAGUUAACUAGCGAAAUUAAAAAAAAAAAAAACCGGAACGAAAAAAGAUACAUAAAAAGUGUUCUUUAAAAUUAAUGUGUACUCUUGACCGACUACAAAAAUACUAAAAAAUCUAUUCGAUAUAAAAUCUCAAAGCCUUUCACCGAACAAAACAGUUUUUUUAUUUCGUUUCCUUACCGUUAAAACAUUAAAUAAAAUUCUGCUUAUGAGGCAGCGGCUUUGAUGGUAUACCCGUGAAAUACAGACUAAACAACUUUUUUCCCGGUGCCUUAAAUGGAUUUAUUAAGAUCCAGAUUUACAUCUCCCAAUAAAAUUGGCAAUAUGUUUCUGCGGAACUCUAGAUAUUACCUCUUAGUGCCUCGUCAAAGACAUAUGGUCCUAUAAUUGUGCCACCUAUUAUACCACACCAUACAUUUAUACUACAGCGUCCUUGAUGCUGAAGUUCUUGCUUCCAAUGGGGAUUUAUGAAGACCAAUAAUGUAUAUUAUGGCGAUUUACCCCACCAUUGCUAUUAAAAGUAGACUCGCCUGAACAAAGAAUUCUGUAUAGAAAUUGAAGGUUUUCGUUAACCAUUCCCAGAAGCCAAUGGCAAUAAUCGAGUCGUCUAUCGAAAUCCGUAUCUGUCAAAGCUUAGUGCAGAACGACAUGAUAGGGAUGUAAUCUGAAAGUAAACUAAAUUUGCAUCAAUAUGAAUCAUAUUUGAUUAACCUCUAAGAUAUUGUAUAUACAGGGUGAUUCAGUUUAAGCGUCAUUAAUUUUAAUACGUGAUAGAGAAUUUAAAAAGAAAUAAACUUUCAUUAUAAAAUUUUUCUCACAAAUGUUUAAUAACAAAGAUACAGGGUGCUAAAGCUAAGAAUAAUUAAUUGUUUAUUUAUCAUAACCAUUGUUUAUUUAUCAUAUAUUUAAACUACCUGCUCAAUUUUAAUUAAAUUUGCGCAUGCAGGUCAUUGUACUGAAUUAUCAAGUACUGAUAAAGGCAAUUUCUAAUAAAAUUGCCAGUGGCGUAACAUACGGAGGGACUUGGUCCCUUUUUGUCUUAAAUCUGCAAGGUGAAAAAAUAUUUUUUUAUAUAAAGUCAACUGUUAGAUUUUCCAUUUAGUUUGGAAAAAAAAGUUACCCUUGCAAAAUUAUGAUUUAAGGUACUCUUUUUAAAAUAUCUUAGUUUAGUUUACAAACGCCAGUUACAACUGCUGCAAAAAUUAAAAAAAAAAAGAAAAUUAGGCUUGAAUCUUAAAUUAAACCUGACAAAUAAAAUAAUGACUUAAGGUAACUUUUGAUCAUUGACAUCUUUUAUAUUCAACAACAAUUUCCUUUUUUUUAUUAAUUAAUUUUUGCAACAUUUUGGCAGGUAUUUCUGAACAAUUAAAGUAAAACAUUUUGAAAACAGUGCCUUAAAUCAUAAUUUUGCAAGAGUAACUUUUCGUUUCAAAUUAAAUGGAGAAUCUAAGAGUUGAAUUCCUAUAAAAAAAAAUAUUAUAUCACCUCGCAGAUUUGAGACAAAAAAGG